UGGUGAUUUGAAUUGUCUGCUUAAUUGCGAUAACGAACGAGAUCCGAGCUAUUUAGUUGGCUGGUACUGUUUUUGCACAGGGCCACGUCUCCUAGAUGGACUAUCAGUGUGAACUGAAGGAAGUUUCGGGCUAAAUCA
rnacentral:rRNA from 1 species